rnacentral:lncRNA from 1 species
AUUAGGCUUGGUCUGUGGCAGAAUGGUGCCCAAGCAGGGACCCCUGGACAGUCUGGGAUGUCUUUGGCAUCUUCAUCUGCAUACCUUCUUUUGCUGCAGGAACACUCUGCUUGGACUGUCACCCUGAAUCGGGAGGCUCCUGGCACUUUGCCCUUCUGCUUGUUGACAUCCCCUGAAGGAGGAGUUCUCAGGACACAUCAGGUGAAUUCUAGCCAUAACAUCAGGCUCCAAAGAGUUUUCUAGCUAAUAAUGUCCACUAUUGAAGACGUUUCGUUCUUGUCUAUUUGCUGGAUGCCUGGGUUAGCAGAAGCUUGUCUAAGGAGUCACUGCCUGUGUUGAAGUGGGCUCUGCAGUGAAAUAGCUGUUGGGAAGUUACCCAAGCUCCUGUAAGUAACCUCACACUGGACUCCUUAGCAACCCCGAAGGAAGCUCAGUAGAUCCUCAAGUUGAAUGUCUGCACAGUUG